CUCCUCCUUCUGCAGUGGGGGCCGAAUGGCAGAUGCUACCCAAAUGUAUUCAUUAAUCAGAAGAGGCUUUCGCCCCCUGACGCCUCUGGGCCUCAGGCAGCCAGAAUCUCCGCCCGAGCUGCAGGGCAGGAGGCGCCUCCCUCCUAGCGCCCUUAGCAAAGAGACGGGGCGUCAGACAUAAACACUGCCCGGAGUCUGAGGAGAGAAGGGUUCCAUUGUGUUCUGAAUGCGGGUUUCCAGACAAGAUGCUCCUGGGGUCCCGCGCCUCCUCCAGAAGCUCCGUGAGCUCGGAGGAGCAAAGAGCAGCGCGCCACAGCCACAGCAGCCGGGGAACCUCGCCGCGCGGGUCUGCACCAGCCUCCGCCUCGCCUCCCAGCCCUCUGGUCCUGUUUGCCUUCCAGCCGAAGUCGGGCCCAAAUUAAUUCUCUGCACUUUGAGAAGCUCGCAGCAGCUGAGGAGAAGCCAGAGCAUCCGUGCUCAGCUAAAGCCACAGGGAAGAAACUGCAACCUGGAGGUAAGCAUCUUCCAAAAUAUGUACUACAACUGUAAAGCAGCUCGAGUGGACAGAAUUCCUGUCUUUAUAGAGUGAGGGGGGUUAAUAAUGAGUUUUAAUGCAAUGAAUCAGUUUAUUACUUAAUGGCAUUACAAUUUUUAAAAAUAAAUGGGUUUUUCCAUUUGCCUUUUACUAUGUUGGAAACAGAUGUUUCACUCAGCAGAAGCCCAACUUUGAUAUUGAAACUUUCCCGGCC
rnacentral:lncRNA from 1 species